CCUUCCAUUGAGUUUGGCUAGGGGCUGUCUUUUGUACAAUUUUUUUUGUUGUUUCUUCCGUGUUGCAAUAGGUUUGUUGUGAUGUUGCGACAGAUGAUUUCUGAAUGUUGCAAUGGAAUUUUUGGGUCAUUACAAUAGAUUUUUUUCGAUGUUGCAGCACAUAAUUUUUAAUGUUGUAGUACAUAUUUUUUUCAAUGUUGCAGUACUUGUUUUUUUUACGAUGUUGUAGUACUUAUUUUUUCGAUGUUGCACUACAUAUUAUAUGUUGUUGAAGUAUUUUGCAGUGUUUGUUUUUCAAUGUUGCAAUACAUAUUUUUGUGAUAUUACAAUAUUUACAAUCCAAUGUUGCACUAUAUAAGUUUUCCAUAUAUUUUUGCAAUGUUGCAAUUGAAAUGUUUCAUGCUCAUUUGGGACAAGGGCACGGUGGGGAAUGAGCUGCGUUAGGGAACUGGGGACAGGGUGCAGCGGGGAGCGGAGGACAUGUGCAAGCGGUAGACAGGCUCCCGUGCGUGGGAGGGACAAGUAGGGUUCAUAACGGACCGACUCAUGUGUCAAAGGUGAGUGGGAUUCGUAAUGGACCAGCGUCCGGAUGCACUCACAUGUUGGACGUCUGGGCGCUAGAUAUACCAAUAAAAAAACCAUCUCCAAGAGUUUCCAAUCCCACCUAAUCUUUUGGUAAUUGAAAAAAAAAUCACCGAACGAGCGGAUAUAUCUGUUCGUACAUCAGUCUCUCAAUCUAAGGUGGAAGGACAUGGAAAAGAAUAAAGGGCACAAAAGAGUUGUAAAUUGGUCCUGAAAUAUAGAGCUAAAGAAUAUAUAAAAUGCUGGAGUAUCAUACCUCUUUGUCCUGAAAUAUAGAGCAU
rnacentral:lncRNA from 1 species